AUCUAGCUGAUCAGUCCUAAAUAGAACGGAACGCGCGUCCUGGAU
rfam:Schistosoma mansoni strain Puerto Rico chromosome 2, complete genome